CCUUUCAAGGCCCUUUCCCUCCUCCCCCACUCGCCCGCGGCUUUAAAUAAUCGCCUCUUGCAGGCGCGAAGUCUUUUCUCCUCGUAGGCAUGCGCCGUGGGUGUAAGGCGCGCGCGGCCGAGUUUGGCCCUUCGGCGGACGGCUGAUGCUCCGUGGGUUGCCACGGAGGGGAAGGCGUGCGUGCUCUGCGGAGCUUCUCGGCGGUGUAAGCCUCUGGAGCAUGGGUUGAGCCGGGCGAAGUGAAGUUUCCCCACCUGGAGCUGGGGCGCGAAUGCCCCCCGUACUGCCGAAGGGCCUCGGUUGCGGGACUUCGGAUCCAUGCGGCUGAAGUCACCCGUAGGGUUCCUGUCUUGCUUGUGGUACAGUGUUGCAGCUCUUACACACCCAAGAACCAGGAAACCAUGGACUUUUCUAUGUGGACCAGAGAUCAAAUCAGAGCCGGCAAGCACUUGAACUUUUGGGUGUUUUUUUUUUCUUGAAUCCUUGUUUCUAAGAAUGUAUUCUUGAAGUAAUAAAAUUUUUUUUACUAAAACCUGUCA
ensembl:lncRNA